AAGCAGGUGGCAGGGCUCAUGCAUCAGGAAAGGUUUGCAGAGUCAGGAAGCAAAGCAUGAGCAGGCAGAGGAAGGAAGUUGUCUGUGGCCAGCUAAAAGGAGCCCUUUGCUGUUAAGGAUGACAACUUGAGGAAGAAGAUGAGGAUGAGGAGGGAGAAGCACUUCUCUUUCUUUCCUUUUUGUUUCCCUUUUCUGUUAGAGAGACUGGGAGAGAAUGCCCUGAAACCAUGCCUGCCAUGCUGGAGGGACUUUUUGCAAAUCAGCAGGGGAAGCAGAAGAAAAAGAGGAGAUCUGGAAGAUGAAAGUGAUGUAAGAUACUAAGUACUAGAAUUAUCUGAACUAUUACCAUACGUUUUUGCUAGCAACAGUUCCAACUCCGCAUCCACCUCAGAGACAUGAUGUCAUUGGACGAACUGCACCCACAGGAAGCUGAGCAAUUCCACAGAUGAAGCUUUGUGGUUCACAAAUCUGAGAAAGAAUACUCAGGUCUGCCACUUGAUCAGGCAAAUAAAGAUAUUAAAGGUGAAGGAGGAGAAAUUGGUGUAUCUGAGAAUUAAUCAGCACUUGUUUAUUUAACAUAAAUAUAACCUAACAUCUAGGCAGUGGAUGAUUGCUGGGCCUGAGGACAGCUGCCAGUGAAUGAAUAUGAGACUGCUUCAGGUGUCAAAAAGUUAGUGAACAGCAGCUGUCACCACAAACAGUGCAGGAAGCUCAACAAGCAUUCUUUGACAGAGUGUGCAAGAUUACCAACGUGAUUCAGGAGUUGGGCUAGACUUUCACAGAAGCAUCAGCAGACCUUUUCAGUCUCCACACCAGAGAUAUUACAGAUCACAGUUGUGCUGACAUGAUUUUUACACACUACUGCAGACACAGAGAAAAGUACAAAUCAUUCACAGUGGGGCUAGACAUGGAAGAUGAAAACUCCUUCUAUUGACCUAUUAAGGAAUACAAGUUGGGUUUCUUCAAACAGCAGGUCGUUGCUCCACAGGCUACAAUGAAGGAAGAUCACAACUUUUUCUCACAACUCUUUAUCUCGUCAGAGCAGACAGAUUCUGCUCUGUAUUUGUAUAAUUUUUUAAAGUAUGAAAACCAGUGCUCUCAAGCCUCACUCAGUGACAUUGGGAAGCUUCACACCUGUGAAAAAUCUCAACUUAUUGAAAUUCUUGAAGAUGAUAUAACGGUAGUACAGAAAAGAACAGAUAAUAUAAUAUUAUCUGAAAUAUUAUAUCUGAAAAGAAAAGAACAGAUAAUAUACCUGUAAUAGUAGAUUGGUCAGCACUAGUGUGAAUAGUGAACCACCAUGGACAGCAGGGAUAGCCUUUGAUAGUUAUGCAGUGGAUGUGUUUCUUCCUACAGUGGAGGCAUACUGUAGGUAGUACAAAAGAUGUGAUAUUGUAUUUGAUGAGUAUGUGUCUGAUGUGUACAGUCCGAAAUGGAGUAAUGGUGUUCCAGAAGCAAAGGUCUCAGGAGAAGGUUGCAGGAAGCAACACUGCACCAAAUGACUAGAAAAGCCUUUAAGAGAUUCUAACAAGAAGACUGAGCUUUUCCACUUCUUAGCAAACAAGAAGGCACCAGUCAGCACAGAAGUAAUUAUUAUUAACUAAAAGAGAAAACACCUUAAGCAACCAAAAUAUCUGUGUAUAUCAUUUGGCUCCUUGCUCACAUGAAGAGGCUGACGCGCAUAUUUGUGCAUGCCAAAAAUGCAGUAACAUUGGGUUGCAAGGAACUUCUAAUCAAAGCAAAUUAAACAAAUAUCAUUGUCAUCGCCAUAUCAGUUCUUCCGUCACUGAAGGAGCUUGGCUUCAGACCAUGUGGCUUUCUUUUGGGAAGGGUGCAAAGCACCAAUGGAGUCCAGUCGACGAAAUCACUGACUCAUUAGGGCCAGAAAAAAUUAGUGGGCUACCCUUCUUUCAUGAAUUCACUGGAUCCGAUACCAUAUCAUUUCGCGGCAAAGGCAAUAAAUCUGCGUGGUGUACAUGGAAUGUGUUUGAUGAUGUGCCAAGUGUGUUUACAAAACUGAGUCACUGCCCAGCAAUAACUAAAGAGCAAGAUCUGAUAUAUCUUGGAUAGGUUUGUGGUAAUCAUGUAUGACAGAGACAGUACAGCGGUGCAUGUGAAUGAUGUAAGACUGGAACUUUUUGCUAGAAAACAAAAAUCCCAUUUGGCUAUGCUGUUUAUUCUGUCAACUGGAGGUGCCCUCUUACUGCAUUCAUAGCAGGCUGUGUACCAGGCAGGAUAGUAUGGGGCCAAACAACUGCAUGCCAACCCAACAUACCAAGUCCUGCUGAGUAUUCCAUCCAGUGGGGAUAGGAAAAAAAGAGGGAGGAACAUGGAAAAUCCCUUGGACAAUGCUUCUACCUCUUGCAGAAUGCUGCAGGCAACUUGCAAACUGUGCCUGCAAAGCUGACUGCAAAAGAAGGUGUAAAUGUUUCAAAAGUGGCCUCGACUGCACUGGAUUGUGUAGUUGUACAUGCUUGGAUUAGAAAGCUCUCAUUUGUCUUUGUUUUAUUUCAUUGAUUCAUUAAGUUAGCUUUGCCAUUUAAGUACUUUGCUGUAUUCAAAUAAUUUUGCUCAUAAACAAUAGAACUGUAGAGUAAUGUAAGUAUUGUUAAUUAUGAAUAAGAUGUUUUGGCUCAAUUUCUGAAGAAACAUGUCUUAUUGCAAAUACGAAUA